CGCUGCUGACCAAAAAGAACAUAAAGGCUGAUCUUACCGUUGCAAAAAAACAUUUGAAUGAUUCCCAAGACUUUUGGGAGAAUAUGGACUCAUGAGACAAAAGUUGAACUUUUUGGAAGUUGUGUGUCUCGUUACAUCUGUUGUAAAUGUAACACAGCAUUUAAGAAAAAGAACAUCAUUCCAACAGUCAAAUGUGGUGGCUGUGUGAUGGUUUGGGACUGCUUCUCCACAUCAGGACCUGGACUAUUUGCUGUGAUUGAUGGAACCAUGAAUUCUACUAUGAACCAGAAAAUCCUGAAGGACAAUAUUUAGCCAUCAGUUUCUGCCCUCAACCUUAAGUCUACUUGGGUUAUGCAGCAGGAAUAUGAUUCAAAAUACACCAACAAGUCAACUUCUGAAUGGCUUAAAAAAAAAAAAAAUGAAGGUUUUGGAGUGGCCUAGACAAAGUCCGGACUUGAAUCCAAUUGAAAUGCUAUGGCAUGACCUUAAAAAGGCCGUUCAUUCUUGAAAAACCUCCACUGUUGAUGAAUUAAAAAUUCUGCAAGGACUAGGGGGUCGAAAUACUGUCACUGAGAUGUGAAAGACUCAUUGUCAGUUAUAGAAAAUGUUUGAUUUCAGUUGUUGCUGCUGAGGGUGGCCCAUCCAUUUAUUAGGUUUACGGGUCACAUACUUUUUCACACAGGGCCAGGUAGCUUUGAAUAUUUUUUUUCUUUCAUAAAUAAAAUCACCAUUUAAAAACUGUAUUUUAUGAUCUUAAACAUUGAAGUGAGGAAUCUAUGCACACACAAAAAGAAUGCGAGAAGGGGACAAAUACUUUUUCAUGGCACUGUACAAGUUUUUGUACUGUGGCUGGAAAUCAGAGUAUACAUCACAUGCAAAGGGCGGACAAAAGUCUGAUCUGGCUGUAAAACAACAUGCCGAGCAAUGUCAUUUCUGAGAAUUUGAUGUGCAAUCACAGGGGUCACAACCGUAGACCACGUGUUACCACAGCAAUCCAGGACCACCACAACAGGUGUCUUUACCUGCGAUUAAAGCAAUCCCCAGAAUGUAGACUGAAUUAGGCUUCAGCAAGUUUGAUUCCAAUUGAUUGCCCAGAAUAUAGGCUGAAUUAAAAAUGGUAAGAUCUUAUUUGAAUAUACAUGUUCCAUUGUAUUAUUGUCACGUUACUAGAAUAUAAUAAUGCAUGUAAUGUACCUCAUGCAUAAUAGUGUGCACAUGUUUCCAUACCACAAUUGCUCACGGCUAUUUGUGUGCUGCAUAGUUUGGCUCAACUUUAUGUGAAGAUCUUCAUGCCUGCUCUGCCGGUGACUUCACAUUUGUCUGAGCGUACACGAGUUACCCGAAUAACAAGUAAGUAUCAACCGUGUGCUUCUGUCGUGUAAGAUUAUCAUUUCCCCCUUUAGGCGGUAUUCAUGCACCAUCUGCUGGGCAAAUAUCUUCAAAACCAGGUGCUCCGUAACAAUGCAAUAUCAUUGAUAUGAAAGUUAAAAACAUAAUUAUAAAUAAUAAGUUAAUACCAGAGCAUGUAUGAUUUUUUUUUUUUUAGGGGAUUAUUUGGCCACAGGUCAUAACUGGUGCAAUUGGAAACAUCUUAAAUGCAAUUAUCAAUUAUGUCUUCCUCCAUCUUCUGCAUUUGGGAGCUGCGUAAGUUUCUCUAAAUCCUUUUAAUAGUAUUAGUAGUUUUAUUUCGUAAAACGAAAAUAGUCCCAGGUGGCACGGUGGACGACUGGUUAGCGUGUCUGCCUCAGAGUUCUGAGGACCCGGGUUAAAAUCCGGCCUCGCCUGUGUGGAGUUUGCAUGUUCUCCCCGUGCCUGCGUGAGUUUUCUCCAGGUACUCCGGUUUGCUCCCACAUCCCCGAAACAUGCAGGAUAGGUUAAUGAAGACUCGAAAUAGCCCGUUGGUGUGAAUGUGAAUGGUUGGUUGUUUAUGUGCCCUGAGUUUGGCUGGCGACCAAUUCAGCACACCCGCGACCCUUGACCCAUUCAUCUUGCCGAUGCUAUUGGGGUGAGAAAAAUAAUCAUGUUUGACAUUUUAGGUGAACAAAAUGAUAAAUGUUAACCAUUUUAAAUCAAUAACACUACAAUUAUCAUGACAGAAUAUGGGUGGAGGUGUCAUUCGAGGAGUUGCAAAAAACACAGCACAGUUCGGUGCUGUGUUUAACUUGAUUGUACACUACUGCAUUGGCCUUCCCAUUGGUCUGUCCUUAAUGCUCACAACAACAAUGGGCGUCGUAGGACUUUGGACUGGUCUUACCAUCUCUGUUGGACUACAGGCUAUUUUCUUCAGUGCAUUUUUGUACAAACUUGAUUGGAGAAAGGCUGCUGAAGAGGCUCAAACGAGAGCAGGGGUCCAGGUCACUUUUGAAAACAUGGUGGAGAUGCAAGACUGCGAGCCAGGCAAGCGGCUGACGAGUGGUCGGAAUUGCAGAAUAAAUCAUGAUGACGAUAUUAUAGAAUAUUUAUUUCAGC